rnacentral:rRNA from 1 species
GAGGAAUAUUGCACAAUGGGGGAAACCCUGACGCAGCGACGCCGCGUGAGUGAUGAAGGCCUUCGGGUUGUAAAGCUCUGUCAGAGGGAAAGAAAGGGGAUAUGGCUAAUAUCCAUGUCCAUUGACGGUACCCUCAGAUGAAGCACCGGCUAACUCCGUGCCAGCAGCCGCGGUAAUACGGAGGGUGCUAGUGUUAUUCGGAAUCACUGGGCGUAAAGAGCACGUAGGCGGAUAGGUAAGUCAGAUGUGAAAUCCCGAAGCUUAACUUCGGAACUGCAUUUGAUACUGCCUGUCUUGAGUGUGGUAGAGGGGGAUGGAAUUCCCGGUGUAGAGGUGAAAUUCGCAGAUAUCGGGAGGAACACCAGAGGCGAAGGCGAUCCCCUGGGCCACUACUGACGCUGAGGUGCGAAAGCGUGGGGAGCAAAC